rfam:Triticum aestivum genome assembly, contig: Triticum_aestivum_CS42_TGACv1_scaffold_406028_5BL
CACCUUUUACCUCCGUCCCAAAUUAUUUGUCUUAAAUUUGUCUAGAUAUGAAUUUAUCUAACACUAAAACAUGUUUAGAUACAUCCGUGUCUACACAAAUCUAAGACAAAUAAUUCGGGACGGAGGGUGCAGUUG